rnacentral:rRNA from 1 species
UGGAGGCGGAGCUACCAUGCAAGUCGAGCGCACCCUUCGGGGCGAGCGGCGGACGGGUUAGUAACGCGUGGGAACGUACCCUUUUCUACGGAAUAGCCUCGGGAAACUGAGAGUAAUACCGUAUAAGCCCUUCGGGGGAAAGAUUUAUCGGUAAAGGAUCGGCCCGCGUUAGAUUAGAUAGUUGGUGGGGUAAUGGCCUACCAAGUCUACGAUCUAUAGCUGGUUUUAGAGGAUGAUCAGCAACACUGGGACUGAGACACGGCCCAGACUCCUACGGGAGGCAGCAGUGGGGAAUCUUAGACAAUGGGCGCAAGCCUGAUCUAGCCAUGCCGCGUGUGUGAUGAAGGCCUUAGGGUCGUAAAGCACUUUCGCCAGGGAUGAUAAUGACAGUACCUGGUAAAGAAACCCCGGCUAACUCCGUGCCAGCAGCCGCGGUAAUACGGAGGGGGUUAGCGUUGUUCGGAAUUACUGGGCGUAAAGCGUACGUAGGCGGAUCAGAAAGUAGGGGGUGAAAUCCCGAGGCUCAACCUCGGAACUGCCUCCUAAACUCCUGGUCUUGAGUUCGAGAGAGGUGAGUGGAAUUCCAAGUGUAGAGGUGAAAUUCGUAGAU